GGGGGGUUGGGGUCAGGCCGGGAAGGGGGGGGGACACACACGACAGCACCCCACUGGGGAGGGGGCGAGGGGUGCAAUGGGGGCCCCCGCGCCCUUUCUUCCCCCCGCGGAGGGUUGGGGCGGGGAGGAGGAGGAGGGGGGGGAUGAAGCCAGGGCGGUUUAUGGGUGGGCUCUGCCUGUGUGUCCCCCCCCCGCCGUACCCGGGUGACCUUUCAAAUCAAAGCCCGGCUCGUACCUACCAAGGUGCAUUGGCCAGCAAGGGCUGGGACGGAGGGGGGGGUGAUGGGGAGGGGGGGGUGAUGCACCCGGGUUCUCCCCCUCCCUCUGCCUUUCCCCCUCCCUCCCUCCCUCCCUCGCUGCUCCCUCCCUCUCCCUCUCCCUCUCUCUCUGCUGCAUUUUGCAUGAGCUAUCUAGGUCAUUAGCAUUUUAGCGUAUGCAAGACUUGACAAAGCUGAUGAGAAGCCAGAUGGGCCCCUCUCCUCUUUUUUUUGCACCACUUGGGAUCUGAGCGAAAGGAUUGACUGCAGCAGGCGAACGGGGGAAGGUUUUAUUGCGCUCCUCCAGACCCCCCCUUUAUAGCAACGCGGCGGGGCUCGGGGAAGGCGGCAGAGAGCGGGCAGCGGCGGGCAGAGACGGAGGGCAGGAAAGGCCCCUCUCUCCGUGUUCACAGCGGACCUUGAUUUAAAUGUCCAUACAAUUAAGGCACGCGGUGAAUGCCAAGAACGAGGCUGACCAGCAUCGAGGCCGGAGGCGGCUCCGCGGCUGUCCGCACCCGCGGAACCCCCCCCCCCCCCCCAAAACCCCAAACCAUACACACAUCCCCCCCCCCCCCCCCAAACCCGGUCGCAGGCAGCGCUGCGCACCGGCGCAGGUGGCAUCCGCAGCGCGGAAAGUGGGGGGGGGACACGACACGACGGGGGGGGGGGGGACGGUACCUUUUUGGGGGGAUCCAGGGGAGAAAGGAGAAGGGGGGGGGAAUGUCCCUGCGCGUAUAGAUACCCCGGGGAAUGAAAUCUGGAGCUGUCACUCGGGGGUGACCCGCGGGUGGGCCCCGGGGGGGGCCGCGGCUGCUGCCCCCCGGUGCCGCCGCUUUGUGUUUUGCCUUUUUUCUCUCCUUUUCUCCGCAGAGCCCGGGGGGGGGGGGGGGUUCCCCCCUGUUAAAAGCAAGGGCAGGUCUUGGGGUCACCGGGGCUCACGCUGCUCCCCCGGUGGGGAGGGGGAGGCUGGGGCAAAGCUGCUUUUUUUCUUUAUUUUUUUUAAAGCCUUUUUUUUUUUUUUUCCGGUGGCUGUUUGUGUGUCUUUCCCUUCCCCCCCCCCCCUCCCCUUUAAUCCUUAUAAUUUAAAUCAAAAGUGCCAGGGAGAAGAAGGGGGGGGGGAAGAGCUGUGUCUGCAGGGCGAGGCCGGGCGUAAAUCUCUUGGAGGGAUAAACAUGUCAUUUGUUCCCUUUGUAUGGUAAUGCUGUCGUCGUCGUCCCCCCCCCCAGCUGCCCCCCCCCCCCCCCAGCAGCUGCCCCGGCCAUACAUCCUCCCUACAAAAGAUCCCAAUUACCCAUCGGCUGCCUCAUUAUACCCCUAACACAGCCCCGGCGAGAGGCGUGUGUGCGAGGAGCCGAGGGGAGGGGGGGGAAGGAAUGGAGGGGGGGGAAACAGCACCUGAAUAAUUCAGAAAAUAAAAUAAAAUUGAAGAAACGGGAAGCCCCAGGCGGCGGGAGGGGAGGGCGAUGAGGGAUGCUGCGACCCCGCGGCCUAACGCAGCGCGGGGGCUGCUCCGCCACCACCCCGCUGUUUUAUUUUUCCCCUCCUUUUUCACGCUUUUUAUUUUUACUGAUUUUUUUUUUUUUUUCCUCCACCUUUUUAGCCAGAGAGGUGCCUGGGAACCCAUCGCCACCCCCCCCCGCCCCGCUCCCCGCUGGGGCCCUUCACCUCCCUGCCCUUCUCCCAUCCCUUCUCCUCCCUUCCCUUCUUUUUGCAGCUGGAGGCCAACCUGCCCCGCAUCCCUCCAUCCCCAUGGCCGGCCCAGUGUUCCCAGCAGGUGCUUCCCACUGGGCAAAGAAGGGCCUUACUGGAGGGGAUGGUCCCCCACCCUGUGGGGCGGCUGCAGAGCUGUCCCCGGGCUGGGGGGGGGCCCUUUGAUGAUGGCGUGGGGGGGUCCAUCUCUCUUUGCAGCCCUGCACGCAGACCCUCGCCUCUGGGACGGUGCCCGCGGGAGCAUUGACAGCAGCUCGGGGUCCCUGGGACGCCUCUUUGCACCCCCCCCUUCCCCGGGGUGCUGCAGGUAUUUUGGGGCAGCCCUCCCUGGGCUUGCAUCCCCGCCGGUGCGGAUGCCGCAAGGAGCCCGUCGGGUCGUGCCGUGCCAAUAAAGCUCUUUCGCUGCGG